UUGCCCCACCCAGACUGCAGUGUCUUGGGUGUCUAACACAGGGGGGCAGAGCAGUUCUCUCAUAAACCUGGGGCGAAGGUUCAGUUCCUCGCCGUGGAUCCUGUCGGGAGAAACAAAC